UACGUAGGGUGCGAGCGUUGUCCGGAAUUAUUGGGCGUAAAGGGCUCGUAGGCGGUUUGUCGCGUCGGGAGUGAAAACCUCGGGCUUAACUCGGGGCUUGCUUUCGAUACGGGCAGACUAGAGGUAUGCAGGGGAGAACGGAAUUCCUGGUGUAGCGGUGAGAUGCGCAGAUAUCAGGAGGAACACCGGUGGCGAAGGCGGUUCUCUGGGCAUGAUCUGACGCUGAGGAGCGAAAGUGUGGGGAGCGAACAGG
rnacentral:rRNA from 1 species